UACAGAGGGGGCAAGCGUUGUUCGAAAUUACUGGGCGUAAAGGGCGCGUAGGCGGCCUUCUAAGUCGAACGUGAAAUCCCCGGGCUCAACCCGGGAACUGCGUCCGAUACUGGAAGGCUUGAAUCCGGGAGAGGGAUGCGGAAUUCCAGGUGUAGCGGUGAAAUGCGUAGAUAUCUGGAGGAACACCGGUGGCGAAGGCGGCAUCCUGGACCGGUAUUGACGCUGAGGCGCGAAAGCCAGGGGAGCAAACGGG
rnacentral:rRNA from 1 species